AUUGAACGCUGGCGGCAGGCCUAACACAUGCAAGUCGAACGAGUGGCGGACGGGUGAGUAAUGUCUGGGAAACUGCCCGAUGGAGGGGGAUAACUACUGGAAACGGUAGCUAAUACCGCAUACCAUCGGAUGUGCCCAGAUGGGAUUAGCUAGUAGGUGGGGUAACGGCUCACCUAGGCGACGAUCCCUAGCCGGCCUGAGAGGGUGGUCGGCCACAUUGGGACUGAGAUACGGCCCAGACUCCUACGGGAGGCAGCAGUGGGGGAUAUUGCACAAUGGGCGCAAGCCUGAUGCAGCGACGCCGCGUGAGGGAUGAAGGCUUUCGGGUUGUAAAGUACUUUCAGCGAGGAGGCGUUACUCGCAGAAGAAGCACCGGCUAACUCCGUGCCAGCAGCCGCGGUAAUAC
rnacentral:rRNA from 1 species